UACGUAGGGACCAAGCGUUGUUCGGAUUUACUGGGCGUAAAGGGCGCGUAGGCGGCGUGACAAGUCACUUGUAGCAAAUCUCUGAGCUUAACUCAGAACGGCCAAGUGAAACUGUUGUGCUAGAGUGCAGAAGGGGCAAUCGGAAUUCUUGGUGUAGCGGUGAAAUGCGUAGAUAUCAAGAGGAACACCUGAGGUGAAGACGGGUUGCUGGGCUGACACUGACGCUGAGGCGCGAAAGCCAGGGGAGCAAACGGG
rnacentral:rRNA from 1 species